UACGGGGGGGGCAAGCGUUGUUCGGAAUUACUGGGCGUAAAGGGCUCGUAGGUGGCCAACUAAGUCAGACGUGAAAUCCCUCGGCUUAACUGAGGACGUGCGGAAGAAACUGCAAGGCUCGAGUCCGGGAGAGGGGGGUGGAAUUCCCAGUGUAGCGGUGAAAUGCGUAGAUAUUGGGAGGAACACCGGUGGCGAAGGCGGCCCCCUGGACCGGUACUGACGCUGAGGCGCGAAAGCGUGGGUAGCAAACGGG
rnacentral:rRNA from 1 species